rnacentral:rRNA from 1 species
AUUGAACGCUGGCGGCAGGCUUAACACAUGCAAGUCGAGCGGUAACAGAGAGAAGCUUGCUUCUCUGCUGACGAGCGGCGGACGGGUGAGUAAUGCCUAGGAAUCUGCCUAGUAGUGGGGGAUAACUUGCCGAAAGGUAAGCUAAUACCGCAUACGUCCUACGGGAGAAAGGAGGGGACCUUCGGGCCUUUCGCUAUUAGAUGAGCCUAGGUCGGAUUAGUUAGUUGGUGAGGUAAUGGCUCACCAAGACCGCGAUCCGUAACUGGUCUGAGAGGAUGAUCAGUCACACUGGAACUGAGACACGGUCCAGACUCCUACGGGAGGCAGCAGUGGGGAAUAUUGGACAAUGGGGGGAACCCUGACCCAGCCAUGCCGCGUGUGUGAAGAAGGUCUUAAGAUUGUAAAGCACUUUAAGUUGGGAGGAAGAGCAGUUAACUAAUAUUUGACUGUUUUGACGUUACCGACAGAAUAAGCACCGGCUAACUUCGUGCCAGCCGCCGCAGUAA